rnacentral:rRNA from 1 species
CGUGAAACCGCGAACGGCUCAUUACACCAGCUAUUAUUUACUUGAUCUUGACAAAGUUACUUGGAUAACUGUGGUAAUUCUAGAGCUAAUACAUGCACCAAAGCUUCGACCCGCAAGGGAAGAGCGCAUUUAUUUGAACAAAACCAAACGGCUUCGGCUGUCCAUUGUUGACUCAGAAUAACUAAGCUGAUCGCAUGGUCUUGAACCGGCGACGUGUCAUUCAAGUUUCUGCAUUAUCAAAUUUCGAUGGUAACUUAACAGAUUACCAUGUUGGUGACGGUUAACGGAGGAUCAGGGUUCGACUCCGGAGAAGGGGCCUGAGAAAUGGCCACUACGUCUAAGGAUGGCAGCAGGCGCGCAAAUUACCCACUCUCAGAAUGAGGAGGUAGUGACGAAAAAUAAAGAGACCGUUCUCUCUAAGAGGCCGGUCAUCUGAAUGGGUGCAAUUUAAACCCUUCAGCGAAUGCAAUGAGAGGGCAAGUCUGGCGCCAGCAGCCGCGGUAAUUCCAGCUCUCAAAAUGCAUAGAAUUAUUGCUGCGGUUAAAAAGCUCGUAGUUGGAUCUGUGUUGGCACUUCGGUCCACCCCCGGGUGCGCACUGCUGUUGCUGGCUUUUGUGUAGUGUACGGCACUGUGCCCUUGAUUGGGAGCGGUUGCGCAGUCACUGCAAGUUUACUUUGAACAAAUCAGAGUGCUCCAAACAGGCGUUUCGCUUGAAUGUUCGUGCAUGGAAUAAUAGAAGAGGAUUUCGAUCAAUUUUUGUUGGUUUUAUUGACUGAGAUAAUGGU